rnacentral:rRNA from 1 species
GAUGAACGCUGGCGGCGUGCCUAAUACAUGCCAGUCGAGCGAACGGACGAGAAGCUUGCUUCUCUGAUGUUAGCGGCGGACGGGUGAGUAACACGUGGAUAACCUACCUAUAAGACUGGGAUAACUUCGGGAAACCGGAGCUAAUACCGGAUAAUAUUUUGAACCGCAUGGUUCAAAAGUGAAAGACGGUCUUGCUGUCACUUAUAGAUGGAUCCGCGCUGCAUUAGCUAGUUGGUAAGGUAACGGCUUACCAAGGCAACGAUGCAUAGCCGACCUGAGAGGGUGAUCGGCCACACUGGAACUGAGACGCGGUCCAGACUCCUACGGGAGGCAGCAGUAGGGAAUCGUCCGCAAUGGGCGAAAGCCUGACGGAGCAACGCCGCGUGAGUGAUGAAGGUCUUCGGAUCGUAAAACUCUGUUAUUAGGGAAGAACAUAUGUGUAAGUAACUGUGCACAUCUUGACGGUAUCUAAUCAGAAAGCCACGGCUAACUACGUG